UGUCCCAUACCCUCUGCAUUUGUCACCUAUGCCAUGGCCCGGAUAAAAGACGUGGACCCUGACCCAUAGUGCGCUCUCUCUUCCUCCCUUCUUCCCCUCACCCCUCUUCAGGGUCACCUCUGUCAAUAAGGACCUCUCCCAUGAGAACUGUGAUGGCUUGGAGUGUUCUGUCCAGGAAUUUGCCGCCUCGUCUAACAGCAUGGGUGUAGGAAGGCUGUCUCUGAAGAGCUGACCUUACCUCCGGAAGAUACUGGCAUUGGGUGGUCUAGCAGAAGCAGUGCUGGGCCCCUCACUCAGGUGGUGCAGAUAAGAGAGAGAGCCAGCAGGCUGACCAGUUAGUUCAGCUACUACCUAGGCCCAGAUUCAGGACUUUGAGUUGGCCUACCCCAAAAUAUUCAUUAUCCAUGAACUGCGGGGGUCAUGUGAAAAUGCUGGCCCUACUGAUUCAAAGCUGCAGAAUCUCCAAGACUGAGGGGAAACCAGAAGGAGUUUCUGCUAGUUUCUUGUGAAUUUGACAAUUCAAAGAACACCUUCUGAAGAUUGGCCUGUAGAAGACCUCAGUUCAGCUCCUAGCUUCCAUGUUGGAUGUCUCACAACUGCCCAUAAUUCCAGCUCUAUGUGGAUCCGAAGCCUCUGACUUCGGUGAGCACCUGUACUCACAUGCACAUACUCACAUACUGAUGUCCCAUAGAUAGAACUUUAUCAUAAAACCAACUUGGAUGGAGCAUCAUUCAAAAUUGGAAUUAAGAUACCUGUAUGGUGGCACAAUCUUGUAAUUCUAGUAUUUGAGAGCCUGAGGAAGAAGGGCUGUCAUGAGUUCUAGGCCAGAACUAAUGAUCUAUAUUCAUGACAUAUUCCAGCGUUUAUUUCAUAUGGAUGCAAUUCAAGUCAAGAUCCUGUAACUCUAUCUACUCCUUACCCAUCAGUGUGGGACGGGAUAUGAGCACCGAUACCAGCCUUCCUCUGUGUCAAAGUACUAAGCCAUACCCCAUUAACAAUUAUCUUUGAAAAUUCUCUACAUGUGGAUGAAGUGCUUAGAAACUUGAACACUGAUGCUUCUUUUAACAUUAAAAUUAAAUCAUUGCCCUUAUC